rnacentral:rRNA from 1 species
GACGAACGCUGGCGGCGUGCUUAACACAUGCAAGUCGAACGGUAAGGCCCUUCGGGGUACACGAGUGGCGAACGGGUGAGUAACACGUGGGUGAUCUGCCCUGCACUUCGGGAUAAGCCUGGGAAACUGGGUCUAAUACCGGAUAGGACUCCUGGCUUCAUGGGUGGGGGUGGAAAGCUUUUGCGGUGUGGGAUGGGCCCGCGGCCUAUCAGCUUGUGGGUGGGGUAAUGGCCUACCAAGGCGACGACGGGUAGCCGGCCUGAGAGGGUGACCGGUCACACUGGGACUGAGAUACGGCCCAGACUCCUACGGGAGGCAGCAGUGGGGAAUAUUGCACAAUGGGCGCAAGCCUGAUGCAGCGACGCCGCGUGAGGGAUGACGGCCUUCGGGUUGUAAACCUCUUUCAGCUAUGACGAAGCGCAAGUGACGGUAGUAGCAGAAGAAGGACCGGCCAACUACGUGCCAGCAGCCGCGGUAA